rnacentral:lncRNA from 1 species
AAUAAAUCCAGGCUACGCAUGUGUCAUAUAUAGUAGAACCUCGUUCGCAAGAACAUGCACUGCCUGCUCGUCUAAGCUUCAAACAUCGAUAUAUGAUAAUGGAUUGCCAAGUAGAAGAAACUGAGCAUUUUCAGCGUCUGUUCCUCUUCUAAUCCGAUCAAACUUCCAAGAAUGCAAAAACCAGGCAUUGGUGUUCUGUACGGGGAGAGAGCUUUCACUGAAAGAACUGCACAGAAAAAUUUUACAUGUGUCAAGGGAGCGAAUUUGAACAACACAAAUCUCAUCUUCCGGCCGAUCAUUGCAGUUCACUAAAGAUUGCUUGAACGAGAUCAUUCGCCUGGGUCCAUACCAACCCACUUGGAAAUUAGCACAGCAGAUUGGUACGUCGUGAUGUUAUUGUUGGUAAUCUUCACUCUAUGUGCAAGGUUCAAAUCACUGUACGUGUAUGCCACGUGCUAUGAACAGGAGAAACAUACUCCAGCGCUUCUGUAACCCGUUAAUUUACUCGCUUGACAUCAGGUUACUUGUGGGCAUUAACAUAAGCUUUUAUACUGCUUUGGACUGGUUGUAAAAAUAGUCUCUUUACGACACUAUGAAGUUAAAAAAAAAUGGAUGAGUCCCCAAAAGCUAGGAACAACUUGAACCAAGCCAGAAAUGCAUCCAGGUGAGAAUUGAGAAAACAUAAAGAAAAAUAGCGAAGUGGACCGAGAAGCUCGAUGAAAUAUUGAUUCAGUACAUUAAAUAGGGUGAGAAAGUGUUGGGGAGAAAAACAUUAGUUUUUGAAUGAUGCUAUGAAUAAAAGCCGACUAUAUUUGACUGAAAAUAUUUAGAUAAUUGCUAUGUUUCUAUAUUAUCCAUGUUGAGGUAUACGUCUUUCUAACAUUAAGAAAAAUUAGAUGGAUGUACAUACAUAUAGUGUGAGAAAAACAGAGAUAAUAAGGAGUUUGACUCAUUAGUUUCAGGUGUUUAUGACUAUAUUUUAUAUAUCCUAAAUUUGGUACUUUAUUAAUGUGAUCUAUAUGAGAAAAUUCUUCAAAUACUAUUUUUAAAAAUCGUAAUUUAUCUAACAAGGGAAAUCAAAGAAAAAUUACGUUUAUGAAUGUAUCAAAUAUCUUUCCGCAAAAAUGAUAUACCUGUUCGAAGGCGACAAUACAAUCAGUCGCUUAUUCUCUCAUACACAUUAAUGC